UACGUAGGGUGCGAGCGUUGUCCGGAAUUAUUGGGCGUAAAGGGCUCGUAGGCGGUUUGUCGCGUCGGGAGUGAAAUCCAUUGGCUUAACUGGUGGCUUGCUUUCGAUACGGGCAGACUGGAGGUAUGCAGGGGAGAACGGAAUUCCCGGUGUAGCGGUGAAAUGCGUAGAUAUUCGGAGGAACACCAGUGGCGAAGGCGGCUCACUGGUCCAUUACUGACGCUGAGGUGCGAAAGCGUGGGGAGCAAACAGG
rnacentral:rRNA from 1 species